rnacentral:rRNA from 2 species
AAAUUGAAGAGUUUGAUCAUGGCUCAGAUUGAACGCUGGCGGCAGGCCUAACACAUGCAAGUCGAACGGUAGCACAGAGAGCUUGCUCUCGGGUGACGAGUGGCGGACGGGUGAGUAAUGUCUGGGAAACUGCCUGAUGGAGGGGGAUAACUACUGGAAACGGUGGCUAAUACCGCAUAAUGUCGCAAGACCAAAGAGGGGGACCUUCGGGCCUCUUGCCAUCAGA